AUGACACAUGUUCAAAUCCUGAAGUUACUCCAGGAAGAAGGUAAAAUGGUCGAAGGGGUGAUCACUGGGCUUAUUGACACUGUGGACACAUCAACCCCAAAACUUGGUUCCUGGCAAGGUCAUGGAACUAGGCAAUUUAGCUCUACUGAUCAACCUCAGUCAGAACUAUCUCUUGACAAUUUCAAAUCCAAGGGGGUUACUAGCGCCAA
rnacentral:lncRNA from 1 species